rnacentral:sRNA from 1 species
AUUUAACUGCUUGGCUCGAUCAAGGUUUUUUCGCUUCAGAUCUAUAAUAAAUAUCUAGGGAGCGGUCACUGAGUUCUGCUGUGGCAUUAAUCAAACUGCACCCACCUUAACAAAAUAGGGUCUAAGAUUGGGAACCGACGACCAAGUGGUUAAAUU